rnacentral:rRNA from 1 species
GUUAGGAAUAUUGGACAAUGGGCGCAAGCCUGAUCCAGCCAUGCCGCGUGAGUGAUGAAGGCCUUCGGGUUGUAAAGCUCUUUAGCCGAUGAUUAUAAUGACUGUAGUCGGAAAAUAAGCCCCGGCUAACUUCGUGCCAGCAGCCGCGGUAAUACGAAGGGGGCGAGCGUUAUUCGGAAUCACUGGGCGUAAAGCGUGCGUAGGCGGCCUUGCAAGUUGGGAGUGAAAGCCCAGGGCUCAACCCUGGAAUUGCUCUCAAAACUGCAAGGCUCGAAUUCGGGAGAGGAUAGCGGAAUUGUCAGUGUAGCAGUGAAAUGCGUAGAUAUUGACAGGAACACCAGUGGCGUAAGCGGCUAUCUGGACCGAUAUUGACGCUGAGGCACGAAAGCGUGGGGAUCAAACAGGAUUAGAUACCCGAGUAGUCC